CUAGCAUAUCAAUAAGCGGAGGAAAAGAAACCAACAGGGAUUGCCCUAGUAACGGCGAGUGAAGCGGCAACAGCUCAAAUUUGAAAUCUGGCUCUUUUAGAGUCCGAGUUGUAAUUUGCAGAGGGCGCUUUGGCUUUGGCAGCGGUCCAAGUUCCUUGGAACAGGACGUCACAGAGGGUGAGAAUCCCGUACGUGGUCGCUGGCUAUUGCCGUGUAAAGCCCCUUCGACGAGUCGAGUUGUUUGGGAAUGCAGCUCUAAAUGGGAGGUACAUUUCUUCUAAAGCUAAAUAUUGGCCAGAGACCGAUAGCGCACAAGUAGAGUGAUCGAAAGAUGAAAAGCACUUUGGAAAGAGAGUCAAACAGCACGUGAAAUUGUUGAAAGGGAAGCGCUUGCAGCCAGACUUGCUUACAGUUGCUCAUCCGGGUUUUUACCCGGUGCACUCUUCUGUAGGCAGGCCAGCAUCAGUUUGGGCGGUAGGAUAAAGGUCUCUGUCACGUACCUCCUUUCGGGGAGGCCUUAUAGGGGAGACGACAUACUACCAGCCUGGACUGAGGUCCGCGCAUCUGCUAGGAUGCUGGCGUAAUGGCUGUAAGCGGCCCGUCUUGAAACACGGACCAAGGAGUCUAACAUCUAUGCGAGUGUUUGGGUGUCAAGCCCGAGCGCGUAAUGAAAGUGAACGGAGGUGGGAACCCGCAAGGGUGCACCAUCGACCGAUCCUGAUGUCUUCGGAAGGAUUUGAGUAAGAGCAUGGCUGUUGGGACCCGAAAGAUGGUGAACUAUGCUUGAAUAGGGUGAAGCCAGAGGAAACUCUGGUGGAGGCUCGCAGCGGUUCUGACGUGCAAAUCGAUCGUCAAAUUUGGGCAUAGGGGCGAAAGACUAAUCGAA
rnacentral:rRNA from 1 species